rnacentral:rRNA from 11 species
UUGACCUCGAAUCAGGUAGGAAUACCCGCUGAACUUAAGCAUAUCAAUAAGCGGAGG